UGCAUAUCAAUAAGCGGAGGAAAAGAAACCAACAGGGAUUGCCUCAGUAACGGCGAGUGAAGCGGCAAAAGCUCAAAUUUGAAACCUUCGGGAUUGUAAUUUGAAGAUUUGGCAUUGGAGAAAGCUAACCCAAGUUACUUGGAAUAGUACGUCAUAGAGGGUGACAACCCCGUCUGGCUAACCGUUCUCCAUGUAUUGCCUUAUCAAAGAGUCGAGUUGUUUGGGAAUGCAGCUCAAAGUGGGUGGUAAACUCCAUCUAAAGCUAAAUACUGGUGAGAGACCGAUAGCGAACAAGUACUGUGAAGGAAAGGUGAAAAGAACUUUGAAAAGAGAGUGAAAUAGUAUGUGAAAUUGUUGAUAGGGAAGGAAAUGAGCGGAGAGUGGUUGAGGUUUCAGCGCACCCUUGGGUGCGUGUAUUGCCGACGCCGAGUCAUUGACAGCGAGACGGGGGCUACAAACAGGUUGCUCUUGAGCUUCCCACCUAUCCCCCCCACUGCCGCCAACGACAUAAUCCGCCCAUUUCACCCGUCUUGAA
rnacentral:rRNA from 1 species